CCUACGGGCGGCAGCAGUGGGGAAUAUUGGACAAUGGGGGCAACCCUGAUCCAGCCAUGCCGCGUGUGUGAAGAAGGCCCUCGGGUUGUAAAGCACUUUCAGUGAGGAAGAACGCCUGGUGGUUAAUACCCAUCAGGAAAGACAUCACUCACAGAAGAAGCACCGGCUAACUCCGUGCCAGCAGCCGCGGUAAUACGGAGGGUGCGAGCGUUAAUCGGAAUUACUGGGCGUAAAGCGCGCGUAGGUGGCUUGAUAAGCCGGUUGUGAAAGCCCCGGGCUCAACCUGGGAACGGCAUCCGGAACUGUCAAGCUAGAGUGCAGGAGAGGACGGUAGAAUUCCCGGUGUAGCGGUGAAAUGCGUAGAGAUCGGGAGGAAUACCAGUGGCGAAGGCGGCCUUCUGGACUGACACUGACACUGAGGUGCGAAAGCGUGGGUAGCAAACAGGAUUAGAUACCCUGGUAGUC
rnacentral:rRNA from 1 species